GUUCUGGUGCUCUCCUAGAGCCUCUGGAGGGAACCCAGCCCUGCUAACACCUUGACUUCUGCCCAAGAACACUGGUUUUGGAUGGUGGCCUCCAAAACAGAGAGAGAAUUAAUUUCUGUUGAUUUAGGCCACCAAGUUUGUGGCCAUUCAUUAGAGUAGCCCGAGGAAGCAGAAACAUCAGAUGUGCCCAGCUGAAAAAUUAAUUUCUGUUAAGAAAAUGAAAGAAUAUUUGGAAACAACCAAAUUUUUUGGAAGCAACCAGUAAAUUUUGCCUUACCAGCUGUUCAAGUUUUAAAGUUCUGCCAUUGAGGAGUGUCAUCCCUAGAGCUAUUUGAUGUCAAAAGCUGGACAGCAGCCUAAGAUUUACCUGGAAGAAUCACCUGUGACCCUGCAAUGCUGUCUCAGAAACAAGGAGGAAGGCUUCCCAUGGAGUCCAAGAAUGGGACCUAAUCUAUCAACAUCCUCUUCAAAUGCUUUCUUCUUCACUCUCCCAGCAAGCUAUGGCUCCCACAGAGUCUUGCUUGGGGAUGGUGCUACCUGAUACCUAAAACAGGCUUCCAAAAAUAAAGCUGACAUUUACUGAAUGCCACG